AGAGUUUGAUCCUGGCUCAGGACGAACGCUGGCGGCGUGCCUAACACAUGCAAGUCGAGCGAAUGAAGUUUCUUCGGGAACGGAUUUAGCGGCGGACGGGUGAGUAACACGUGGGCAACCUGCCUCAUAGAGGGGAAUAGCCUUCCGAAAGGGAGAUUAAUACCGCAUAAGAUUGUAGUACCGCAUGGUACAGCAAUUAAAGGAGCAAUCCGCUAUGAGAUGGGCCCGCGGCGCAUUAGCUAGUUGGUGAGGUAACGGCUCACCAAGGCGACGAUGCGUAGCCGACCUGAGAGGGUGAUCGGCCACAUUGGGACUGAGACACGGCCCAAACUCCUACGGGAGGCAGCAGUGGGGAAUAUUGCACAAUGGGGGAAACCCUGAUGCAGCAACGCCGCGUGAGUGAUGACGGCCUUCGGGUUGUAAAGCUCUGUCUUCAGGGACGAUAAUGACGGUACCCAAGGAGGAAGCCACGGCUAACUACGUGCCAGCAGCCGCGGUAAUACGUAGGUGGCAAGCGUUGUCCGGAUUUACUGGGCGUAAAGGGAGCGUAGGCGGAUUUUUAAGUGGGAUGUGAAAUACCCGGGCUCAACCUGGGUGCUGCAUUCCAAACUGGAAAUCUUGAGUGCGGUAGGGGAGACUGGAAUUCCCGGUGUAACGGUGGAAUGUGUAGAUAUCGGGAAGAACACCAAUGGCGAAGGCAGGUCUCUGGGCCGUUACUGACGCUGAGGAGCGAAAGCGUGGGGAGCGAACAGGAUUAGAUACCCUGGUAGUCCACGCCGUAAACGAUGAAUACUAGGUGUAGGGGUUGUCAUGACCUCUGUGCCGCCGCUAACGCAUUAAGUAUUCCGCCUGGGGAGUACGGCCGCAAGGUUGAAACUCAAAGGAAUUGACGGGGGCCCGCACAAGCGGUGGAGUAUGUGGUUUAAUUCGACGCAACGCGAAGAACCUUACCAGGUCUUGACAUGUUCCCGAAUGAUGGAGAAAUCCACCUUUCCUUCGGGACUUCCAACAAGGUGCUACAUGGUUGUCGUCAGCUCGUGCCGUGAGGUGUCGGGUUAAGUCCCAUAACGAGCGCAACCCUUUCCGUCAGUUGCCAUCGGUUUAUGCCGGGCGCUCUGUCGGGACUGCCGCCGUAAGGUGCGAGGAAGGAGGGGAUGACGUCAAAUCAGCACGGCCCUUAUAUCCGGGGCGACACACGUGUUACAAUGGCCGGUACAGGGGGCAGCUACCAAGUGAUUGGAUGCGAAUCUCCAAAGCCGGUCUCAGUUCGGAUCGGAGUCUGCAACCCGACUCCGUGAAGUUGGAUUCGCUAGUAAUCGCGCAUCAGCCAUGGCGCGGUGAAUACGUUCCCGGGCCUUGUACACACCGCCCGUCAAGCCAUGGAAGCCGGGAGUACCUGAAGUUCGUGCCCGUAACAGGAGCGACCCGGGGUAAUACCGGUGACCGGGGCUAAGUCGUAACAAGGUAGCCGUAG
rnacentral:rRNA from 1 species